UACGUAGGGGCUAGCGUUGUCCGGAAUCAUUGGGCGUAAAGCGCGUGUAGGCGGUCCGGUAAGUCCGCUGUGAAAGUCGGGGGCUCAACCCUCGAAUGCCGGUGGAUACUGUCGGGCUAGAGUGCGGAAGAGGCGAGUGGAAGUUCCUGGGUGUUAGCGGUGAAAUGACGCAGAGUAUCAGGAGGAACACCGAUGGCGAAGGCAGGUCUCUGGGCCACUACUGACGCUGAGGAGCGAAAGCGUGGGGAGCGAACAGG
rnacentral:rRNA from 1 species